rnacentral:rRNA from 1 species
UACGUAGGGGGGCAAGCGUUGUCCGGAAUCAUUGGGCGUAAAGAGCGUGUAGGCGGCUUGGUAAGUCCGCUGUGAAAGUCCAGGGCUCAACCCUGGAAAGCCGGUGGAAACUGUCAAGCUUGAGUCCGGAAGAGGCGAGUGGAAUUCCUGGUGUAGCGGUGAAAUGCGCAGAUAUCAGGAGGAACACCAAUGGCGAAGGCAGCCCCCUGGGCCAACACUGACGCUCAGGCACGAAAGCGUGGGGAGCAAACAGG